GCUGCUGCUGCUGCUGCUGCUGCUGCUGCUGCUGCUGCUGCUGCCGCCACAGGGCAGCAUCGAGAGCUGAGAACGAAAACAGGUCCUCCACAAACAAAAGUCAGAAGGGGAGGAGGUUGGGCAUCACAAACGGCAUAGUGUCGCCGAGAUGGGACUCCACCUUACUUCACCUUCCUCUCUCUCUUCCUUCUUGGUCUUUUCCAGUCUGGAAUCUCACCAAUAUGUAGUGCUACCAAGAAAGAGAACAACGGCAAAAGCAUACAGCAGCAGAGAUCGAGAAGUAGAGAGAGAAGCUGUUUCUUCAUCGUGAUCCAGAAGCAGAGAUGGAGCUGUGUGCGCGACCUUAUUCGACCCAUGUCCAUUCUUAUUCCGCGACAGAUCAAUAAAUAUGACGACACCGUGAGCAUCAUCGCCCAUAUAUGUCUGUUAUGUUGUGUUACACCUAUGAUGCCACUCAGGUAACGAUGAAGGUGUAGGAGGAGGUAAAUGUAUGUGACGUGAGAGACGAAGAUGCACGCAUGGGACAAGGUAGGAUUUGGACGUGGAUGUUGCGUUGGUGACAGAAUGUAUGCACCGAGAGGAAGGAGGAAUUGAGAGGGCUAAGAUACCAAAUCUACUGAACCACGGCCAAGAAGGAACCUGCUGCAGUAGUCGCUGCUGCCGAUGCCGUCGUCGAUGCGUUCCCGCCGCCGCCGCUCACGCUCUGCCUCUGGAACUGUAUCUCGUACUGCAUCUUGCUGUCCUCGUCGUCCUCAUUGUCGUCGUCGUCCUCCUCAUCUUCGUGCAAGUUAUUGCUGUCGGGCUCGUCCACCUUAUCAGGGUCAUCCAUCACCGGUUGACGUUGCCUUCGCUCCAUCGGCUCCUUCACGAUGUCUUCUGGCUUCGAAUGCCGCAAUGAAGUGAUUGGAUCACGAGAGUGUAUGGGAAAUAGCUGGUGAGAGCAAGUGAGCCUUGCUACUAACCUUCUUCAUCGCUUCUUCAAAGAAGGUGGGCCGAUGUCCUCCUUCGCUCGUUUGAACUUGUGCACCAUCGCGACCUUCACCGCCCUCAGCAUUCCCACCAUUACUGUUUCCGUUAUCGUUGCCACUGUCGUCCGGGGUCUUCGUUGCAGGCCGCUGUUGGUGCUGUUCUUGUGAGAUUGGCUCCUGUUGUGGUUUGACUCCCACACUGCUACUGCUAGUGCCGCCGCCGCUACUGCCGAGCAGUUUCUUGCGAUAGAGUGCGUCCAAUUGGUGGAAGUAAGGACAGGUCUUGGAGUCCUCCGGCCGUUUCCUGUUGCCCUCCUUCACCUUCUUGAAGUACUUGUUGAUGUUCUCCCACUUCUCCUUGCAUCUCUUGGCACUCCGGUUGUACCCGAGCCGCUGCAUUCCCGUGGAGAUCUCCUCCCAGAGGGGACCCUUAGGGCCGGAGUCCUGGUAACUCGACUCGAGGCUGCUCCGUAGAUCGAUGAGCGCAUGGACCUCCGCCUUUGGCCACCUCGAGGACGACGUCGGCUCGAAGCUCCCGCUGCCUUGACCCUCCUGAGCCUCUGAACUGAUCGGCGCCAUCUGUGUCGCUGAUGACUGCUGAGCAUCACGUUGCUGCUGAGGUGGCUGAGCUUGUUGUGGCAGGGUUGGUGGCGGCAGAGUGUGCGACGGCUGUGGAGGACGGGGUGCGAUGGAGGAGGCGGCGGCCGGCGUGGCGGCCAAUGGGAUGGAUUGACCGCUGACCUUUUGAAGAUAGGAGACGACUGCGCUGUCUCGGGACGCCGCCAUGGCGCGCUCUUGGACCAGCAGCUCCUGCUCCAGGCUGAGCCGCGACAUCUCCUGCAGCCGCCACGCCUCCUCUCGUUUCAUCCGGUCCUGCUCUCUUUUGUCGAUCGCGUCCAAGAAACGCUGCUGCAUGGCCUCCUGCCGCUCCAUCACCUGCUUCAUCAGCCCUUCGAAGAAGGCCAUCAUCUGCCGCCUAUAACGAGCGCUCCCUCGAUGCUUUCUCUUGCGUCCUUUCCCGACCCCACCAGCCUCUUCGGUGUCCGCGUCGUCCGACUCCGACGACGAAGAGGAUGAAGAAUUCGACGAGAAGCCGAGCCCGGCUGCAGCUGCGGCGGCAGCAGAGCUCGAGACUCCUUGUGCGCCGUGCUCGGGGACGACACUGGUCGGCAUGGUCACGGGCGGUGGAGCUCCGCCGGAGAUGGGCGAGACUUGAAUUCUAGUACCCGAGGGGCCCGCCAUUCCGGUGGUGAAGCUAAAGGGGGACGACGUGGCAGCAGCUAGGGGACGUGCGGCGAUCGCAGCCGGCGUGGUGGCGCCUCCCCCGCCGGUGCGAUGGAGGGCCUCGAGCUCGCUGUAGAAGCGGUAGGUCUUGCCGUCCUGGCGGCCAGCCCGGCCAUCCUUCUUGCGCUUGUAGUACUUGUGCACGUUCUCGAACUUCUCCUUGCACUUCUUGGCGCUCCUCUCGUAGCCCAACUCCGCUAGCUUCCUGCCCACCACCACCACCAACCAAACACGCUCACCAACCUAUCAAAAACGACUCCCAAUACCAUGAAGAAGGAGAAUUCCACGGACUAAACAGACCGAGAACAAGAAGGAGGUAGGAGGAGGAGAAGAAAGAGAUGAAAACAAGACCAUCAUGCCGGCAUACACCCACACAAACGGCAUCUACACCGAAUCACCCGCCGAUUGUGACCUGAACUAAUAAUAUAAAUUAGCUAAAGGAGAAAAGGGUUGCGAGAAGGAAACUGAAAUUAAAAACGAAUGCGCCUCGAUGGUUGCAUUAGGGGAGUGCGUACUUUUUGUAUGUUGGUUAGGUUGGGAUUGGCGUAGCGGAGGCAUCUUUCAUGGAACUCAGGGAAGAAAUAGUUGUAAACAGGAGGAGGAUAAGGUAGUGGGAAAAGAGAGAGAACAAGGCAUGAAUAGGGCACGGGAGAAGGAAAUAACCGACCCUCCCUCUCGAAGUUAUUGGUUCUUCUUCUUGCCAGAGCUACUUGAAGCUCUACAUCACCGCUACGGAUCCAAACGUAGAUCGGUACACAACUAUUUAUGGGAAAUUCUCGGAGUGGUGAAGUAGCACAUCACAAAGCAUAGUACCAAAAGCAGGUGAUCUGUGUAUCCGUGGACGAGAGCAGCAGAGCUUUAGGCUCCACAUUUCGGAGGGAAUUCCGAAGAAUUUAGGAUCGUUUUACCUGGAGACUUCUUCCCACAGAGGGCCCUUAAUGGUGGCAUCGCGGAAUGCGGCGUCCAUCUCGGAGCGGAUCUUCAGCAGCGCCAGCGUCUCCUGCCGCGGCCAGCGGUUACCGGGCGCGCCGCCGCGCUCGGCAUCCUCGUCCGGGAAGCCGCCGCCGGCCACCGCGGGACCCAUCUCGUCGAAAUCGGCGGCAGCGUCCUCCGGCGGCGGGCGACGACUGCUGAUGGGGGAAGCGGCCUCCGCCAACAGCGGCGGCGGCUGGAGGAAGGCGCCAGCUCUGUGUCCGGCCGUCUCCGAGGAAGGCCCCCCGAAUUGUGACCCUCCUUCCUGCUGCUGCUGCAUGGUUCUGCAGUAACUACAGUGUUAGGCAGCUACAGCCUGUCGUUCUCUUGCCAGUAACAGACAUGUUGGAGGCAUUUCCUGGUGUUGCAGCAGGACUCAUCUCAAUCAUGUUGAGGCAUUUCCUGGUGGAAAGGAGCUUGCAGUAACUGGUUAAAGGACAGGAGGAGGAUGUGGUAAAAGGUGUGAUGGAUUUAAAGCUUGAUGAUGGCACAUCACCCCAAGUGUCGAAGUGGCUGACACCUCCAUGGGACAAACAAAUAUACCUUUGCCUGGUGGAAUUGCUGUCGUGCAU